UGCGUUNUGAACUGGGUGACUAGAGUGUGUCAGAGGGAGGUAGAAUNCCACGUGUAGCAGUGAAAUGCGUAGAGAUGUGGAGGAAUACCGAUGGCGAAGGCAGCCUCCUGGGAUAACACUGACGUUCAUGCCCGAAGGCGUGGGUAGCAAACAGGAUUAGAUACCCUGGUAGUNCACGCCCUAAACGAUGUCGAUUAGCUGUUGGGCAGCAUGACUGCUUAGUAGCGAAGCUAACGCGUGAAAUCGACCGCCUGGGGAGUACGGUCGCAAGAUUAAAACUCAAAGGAAUUGACGGGGACCCGCACAAGCGGUGGAUGUUGUGGAUUAAUUCGAUGCAACGCGAAGAACCUUACCUGGUCUUGACAUGUACGGAACCCUCCAGAGACGGAGGGGUGCCUUCGGGAGCCGUAACACAGGUGCUGCAUGGCUGUCGUCAGCUCGUGUCGUGAGAUGUUGGGUUAAGUCCCGCAACGAGCGCAACCCUUGUCAUUAGUUGCCAUCAUUAAGUUGGGCACUCUAAUGAGACUGCCGGUGACAAGCCGGAGGAAGGUGGGGAUGACGUCAAGUCCUCAUGGCCCUUAUGACCAGGGCUUCACACGUCAUACAAUGGUCGGUACAGAGGGUAGCCAAGCCGCGAGGUGGAGCCAAUCUCACAAAACCGAUCGUAGUCCGGAUUGCACUCUGCAACUCGAGUGCAUGAAGUCGGAAUCGCUAGUAAUCGCAGGUCAGCAUACUGCGGUGAAUACGUUCCCGGGUCUUGUACACACCGCCCGUCACACCAUGGGAGUGGGGGAUACCAGAAGUAGGUAGGGUAACCGCAAGGAGCCCGCU
rnacentral:rRNA from 1 species